AAUUUGUUAUUACAGUUAACUACAAGUUCAGCAAUGCAUUAUAAUGUUUUUUUUUCUCUCUACAUGUACGGAUUAGCUAGUCUUGCUUUGAAUUUACGCAAUAUUUUGUAUUUGGGAUUUUGUUGCUUGGAUAUGUAUUUUGUUAUUUUUUUUGGAAUAGAUUGUGGGUUUAAAGUGAGGAGGAUCAAGGGUGUGGACUGGAUCAAUCCACUGAAGGGAUUAAUUCAUGUGAUGAGGUUGAAGUUACACCAGCGGAUUAGGAAAGUAACUUUCACGAAGGAAUGUAGUUUAUUUAUACUCUCGAAAAGGCUAUCAAGUUAUUGGGAAUGAAUUUGUUAGCCUAAAUUUGUUGGUUUUUAGUGUUGAGUUAACUAAUAUGGGCAAUGCUAAUUGUUUUCCCUUGGUUCUUUUGGGGUAUAUGGUAAACUUUGGUUAGGAGAAGGCACUUGUGCUGGUAAUCAGGGGAAAUUUCUUCCUUUGCUUUAUGAACUCUAAAGCUAAAUUGUAGUUACUGACACUCUAUUUCUAUUUUGUUGAAUUAGAAAUGAUAACAAAGUGAUAUCAAGAUGAAAGCAAAUUUCUUUGUUGAAAAUUGCUUGGUGCUGUUUUAUAGAUUUGUUGAAAGCUGUUAAUCCAGCUAAUCUUGAGGGAGCAUUACAAAACUAAGCAACUGGAAUCGUCCUCACAUGGCAGGGCAGAAAGUGAUGGCGUAACGUGAAACCUUGCAUUUAC